AUAUUGGUCAAUGGGCGGGAGCCUGAACCAGCCAAGUCGCGUGAGGGAAGACGGUCCUACGGAUUGUAAACCGCUUUCAGCAGGGAAGACCACGACGGUACCUGCAGAAGAAGCUCCGGCUAACUACGUUCCAGCAGCCGCGGUAAUACGUAGGGAGCGAGCGUUAUCCGGAAUUAUUGGGCGUAAAGGGUGCGUAGAUGGCACAAAAAGUCUUGUGUAAAAAUGCUAGGCUCAACCUAGUAGAGCAAAAGAUACUUUUGAGCUAGAGUAUGGCAGAGGCAAGUGGAACUACAUGUGUAGCGGUAAAAUGCGUAAAUAUAUGUAAGAACACCAGUGGCGAAGGCGGCUUGCUGGGCCGAUACUGACAUUGAGGCACGAAAGCGUGGGGAGCAAACAG
rnacentral:rRNA from 1 species